GCUUGUAACCUAUUGAUGUAUACUUCAUGGACUCACACUAUCAAUGAAUUUUUUUGCUCCUUAAACAUAUCAUCAUUUCUUGUCUAUUGAAAUCAUUCCAUUUAUAUAAUCAUUCGCUACAUAUCCUUAAUGGAUAUAUCAAACAAAAAUGUAAACUUUUUAUUAUUUUAGAGAAGUUAUAGUUGUUCUAUAUUUUGUAGCAUUAUUUGCCAAUUUGUUGGUCAAGGUGGAAAUAGAAUGCAGUAUUAUUUGGUGUAACUCAUUUGUUCCUGUUAUCUUUUCAAUUUAGAAGUUCUGUCGUUUUGCAGGCUGCUGCUGCGCUUUUUUGGAGAUGGCACAAGACUUCUCUCUCCAGUAGCCGGUGGCAGAUUCGCAUAAGCAUGAGGAGAUUCCACUCUUUAUCAUGUCCUCCGAUGACUACAAAAUAGCGCUGCUUACAGGAAGGCCACCGUCGGCGAUCAUUCUGACGUGGCACAAGUGGAUUGGUGCUUUGUCCGACAACUCAGCCAUGAAUUGCGUCAACCAGUGAAUUACAUCAGUUCUUUUGGGACAUGUGGU